UACAGAGGUGGCAAGCGUUGUUCGGAUUUAUUGGGCGUAAAGGGUCCGUAGGCGGUUUGAAAAGUCAGAUGUGAAAUCCCACAGCUCAACUGUGGAACUGCAUUUGAAACUUUCAGACUAGAGUAUGAGAGGGGUUAAGGGAAUUCCCGGUGUAAGGGUGAAAUCUGCAGAGAUCGGGAGGAACACCAGUCGCGAAGGCGCUUAACUGGCUCAUUACUGACGCUCAGGGACGAAAGCUAGGGUAGCAAACGGG
rnacentral:rRNA from 1 species